rnacentral:rRNA from 1 species
AUCGAACGCUGGCGGCAGGCCUAACACAUGCAAGUCGAGCGAGUGGCGGACGGGUGAGACAUGUAUGGGGACUGCCUGCAAGAGGGGGAUAACUACUGGAAACGGUAGCUAAUACCGCAUACUAUCGGAGAACCCAUAUGGGAUUAGCUAGUAGGUGAGGUAAUGGGCCACCUAGGCGACGAUCCCUAGCUGGUCGUAGAGGAUGAUCGCCGAACCUGUGACUGAGACACGGACCAGACUCCUACGGAGGCCGCAGUGGGGAAUAUGGCGCAAUGGGCGCAAGCCUGGUGCAGCCGUGCCGCGUGUGUGAAAAAGGCCCUAGGGUUGUAAAGUGCUUUCGCUGGGGAGGCGUUACCGACAGAAGAAGCACCGGCUAACUACGUGCCAGCAGCCGCGGUAAUAC